AGUGUCACAACAAUCCACUUCUUUGACGUCUGCAAAAACAAAAGAUUCAGCUUCAGGUGAUAGGACGUCAUAAGGUCAAAUUUUAAAGGCAAUAGAAAGGACCGUUUUGAUUGUUUUGGUUGAAUGCCUGUACUUGUUGGUCAAUGGAUGGAGUUUUUAAAAGGAAACUGGUUACAACUGUGUCAAGUCUGCUCCGAAUAAAAGCUGAAUUGAAUGUGUCAAUACUUGUCCAUCCAUAUAAAUCCAAUCAUUAUAUGAUAAUUGCAAUCUGAAUAAAA